rnacentral:rRNA from 1 species
AACGAACGCUGGCGGCAGGCCUAACACAUGCAAGUCGAACGCAUGCCUUCGGGCAUGAGUGGCAGACGGGUGAGUAACGCGUGGGAACCUACCCCUUGGUACGGGAUAGCUCCGGAAAACUGGAGAUAAUACCGUAUGUGUCCUGAGGGACAAAGAUUCAUCGCCAAGGGAUGGGCCCGCGUCGGAUUAGCUAGUUGGUGGGGUAACGGCCUACCAAGGCGACGAUCCGUAGCUGGUCUAAGAGGAUGAUCAGCCACAUUGGGACUGAGACACGGCCCAAACUCCUACGGGAGGCAGCAGUGGGGAAUAUUGGACAAUGGGCGCAAGCCUGAUGCAGCCAUGCCGCGUGAGUGAUGAAGGCCCUAGGGUUGUAAAGCUCUUUCACCGGUGACGAUAAUGACGGUAACCGGAGAAGAAGCCCCGGCUAACUUCGUG